rnacentral:rRNA from 1 species
UACAGAGGAUGCAAGCGUUAUCCGGAAUGAUUGGGCGUAAAGCGUCUGUAGGUGGCUUUUUAAGUCCGCCGUCAAAUCCCAGGGCUCAACUCUGGACAGGCGGUGGAAACUACCAAGCUGGAGUACGGUAGGGGCAGAGGAAAUUUCCGGUGGAGCGGUGAAAUGCGUAGAGAUCGGAAAGAGCACCAACGGCGAAAGCACUCUGCUGGGCCGACACUAACAUUGAGAGACGAAAGCUAGGGGAGCGAAUGGG